GACGAACGCUGGCGGCGUGCCUAAUACAUGCAAGUCGAACGCAUUUUCUUUCACCGUAGCUUGCUACACCGACAGAAAAUGAGUGGCGAACGGGUGAGUAACACGUGGGUAACCUGCCCAUCAGCGGGGGAUAACACUUGGAAACAGGUGCUAAUACCGCAUAAUUCCAUUUCCUGCAUGGUAGAUGGAUGAAAGGCGCUUUUGCGUCACUGAUGGAUGGACCCGCGGUGCAUUAGCUAGUUGGUGGGGUAACGGCCUACCAAGGCUGCGAUGCAUAGCCGACCUGAGAGGGUGAUCGGCCACACUGGGACUGAGACACGGCCCAGACUCCUACGGGAGGCAGCAGUAGGGAAUCUUCGGCAAUGGACGCAAGUCUGACCGAGCAACGCCGCGUGAGUGAAGAAGGUUUUCGGAUCGUAAAACUCUGUUGUUAGAAAAGAACAAGGAUGAGAGUGGAAAGUUCAUCCCUUGACGGUAUCUAACCAGAAAGCCACGGCUAACUACGUG
rnacentral:rRNA from 1 species